rnacentral:rRNA from 1 species
AUUGAACGCUGGCGGCAGGCCUAACACAUGCAAGUCGAACGAGCGGCGGACGGGUGAGUAAUGUCUGGGAAACUGCCUGAUGGAGGGGGAUAACUACUGGAAACGGUAGCUAAUACCGCAUACCAUCAGAUGUGCCCAGAUGGGAUUAGCUUGCUGGUGGGGUAACGGAUCACCAAGGCGACGAUCCCUAGCCGGUCUGAGAGGAUGACCGGCGAGACUGGAACUGAGACACGGUCCAGACUCCUACGGGAGGCAGCAGGGGGGAAUAUUGCACAAUGGGCGCAAGCCGGAUGCAGCAAUGCCGCGUGUAUGAAGAAGGCCUUCGGGUUGUAAAGUACUUUCAGCGGGGAGGCGUUACCCGCAGAAGAAGCACAGGCGAACUCCGUGCCAGCCGCCGCGGUAAUAC